GCCCUGCAGGACAGAGCUUCCCGCCACACCCCACCGACUGGGGUGGGGUAGAGAAGCACAGGGGAGGGGGGUGGGCUUUAAAGGGCUGAGGCUUGACGCCUGCUGUAAUGCGGGCGAAGCUCGGCAAAGGCAAGACGCGGAAAGGGAAGGCUGUCUUGUAGGAUCCUGUUUUGUUUUUCUUCCCAAAGGAUGUUUGAGAUUUCGUAUCCUGGUUCCACUGCAUUUGGCAUAACCCCAAGACUUGAAUUCCUUUCCUCAUUUGGCAGAGGGACAAAGUUUUUCUGAGUGUGGCUAUUAUUACUUGGAUGAAACCACUCUUCCCACCCACUGCCUAAGGAAGGGAGCAUUCUUUAACUCCUCCCCUCUGUCUCCCAACCCUUGUACCAGUGCUAAUCGUAGUCCUCACUGGUACAGAGGAUGGAAGGGAGAGUGGUGCAGAGAUAUAGGACUGUUCGGUCUCUCCACCCCAACUCUGAGGACGUCUAAACCGGCGACAGAAGCAACCUGCUACACCCUCUUCCUCUCCACCAAUGUUCAAAGCCGAUUGCGUGUUCUGUUCUGCUCAGUGAUAUCCACUGUUUCUUCUGCUUGCCUAGCCUGGGCUCUUUCCAGUUUUGGUGGAGGAAAAUCUUCUCUCUGUAUCGGUUAGCAAAAUAAAUUUUUUUCCUUCUGACUCAACAAGAUUUCAAGGACUCUGAUUGUUGGCAGUGCACAGAAACCGGUUUGGGGUUAACCCAGGGGUUCUCAAACUCGGGUUCCAGAUGUGAUUGGACUACAACUCCCAGCAUCCCCUGCUGCAAUAGCCAAAGGCUGCAGUGGCCGAGAGUGAUUGCAGCUGGGGAUGAUGGGAGAGGAUAGUGACCAACAACAUCUGAGGACGCAGGUUUGAGAACCUCUGGAAAGAGGUUGGGCUGCAAUGUGGAAUUGAGCAGGGCAUGGGGUCAGAAUGGUCAGAAUUGGCAUGGGGGCAAUGAGUGGUGGGGGAGAGAGAACCAGAGCUGGUCUUGCAGUAGCAAGCAUGACUUGUCCCCUUAGCUAAGCAGAGCCUGCCCUGGUUGCAUAUGAAAGGGAGACUAGAAGUGUGAGCACUGUAAGAGAUUCCCCUCAAGGGAUGGAGCCGCUCUGGGAAGAGCAUCUAGGUUCCAAGUUCCCUCCCUGGCAUCUCCAAGAUAAGGUUGAGAGAGAUUCCUGCCUGCAACCUUGGAGAAGCCGCUGCCAGUCUGUGAAGACAAUGCUGAGCUAGAUAGACCAGGUCUGACUCAGUAUAUGGCAGCUUCCUGCAUUCCUAUGUGCUAAAGUCAUUAAUAUGUGGGAGGUGGGGCAGACAGAAAACUAGAAGAAUGGGAAGAGGGGUUGUCAGCGAGAGAGGGCAGUUGGAGAAAGGGUAGAGCAGAGGUAAAGAGUUAGUUGAGAAAAAUGACGGAGGACACAAUCAAAGUUUAUAAAAUUCUCCCUGGUGUGGAAAAAGCAUCUCUCCUAAUCCUAGAACUCUGGGUCUCCUAAUGACAUUGGUGGUAGAGUGAUGACAAAGUUCUUCACACAAUGCCUAAUUGAUCUGUGGAAUUCACUGCCACAAGAUGAGGGGAUGGCCACUGGCUUAAAAGUAGACCAGACAAACUUAUUCUCUGCUGAAUUUUUUCAGUAGCUAUUAGCGGUUCUAGAGAAACAGAGCCUCCUCUUUCAGAGGCAGUGUACCACUGAAUGCCCGCUGCAUGGGGACAGCCUGUUGCCUUCACACUUUGCUUGUGAGCUUUCUGGAUGUUUUGCUGCUGUGGAUUUGCUGCUAGACUAGAUGGCUCUCAGGGCUGAUCCAGCAGGGUUCUUAUAUUCAGUGUUCCAAAACAAAGGAAUUUGUGGAGCUCCUUGGGAUUCCGCAUAAAGACCUCUGGGACCAUUGACCUUUGGGGGAAAUUGUGGGAGGGGGAAACUGCCAGUGGCUGUCCCAAAGAUGCUUGUGCCCCAUGUGCCCUUGUCCCAUUUUGCCUCUUGAUUUCCCCAUUUUAAAGCAUGACAAUUAAAUGUUGUUGGGAGGGGACCUCGGAGGACUUCUAGACCAACCCUUUGCUCAGUGCAGGAAACUGCUACAGCCUCUCUGACCAGGUGGCCAUCCAGCCUCUGUCUGAAAACCUCCAGUAAAGGAAAGCCUGCUACUGCACAAGACAAUUUUGGUUUUUAUUUUAAUUGUUGCAUUUCUAUCCUGCUCUUCCUCGAAGGAGCCCGGAGCGGUGUACAUGGUUAAGUUUAUCCUCACAACAACCCUGUGAGGUAGGUUAGGUAAAGACCUUCUUGUUCACUUGGGCCUUUUACAAUUUUAAUUUAAUUUUUUUAAAAAUUGUGAUCUGACUGUAACUGGUUUUUAAAAUUGUUUUUGUCUUGUAUUUUGUACCCUCACAUUUUUUGCUCUCUUAUGAUUUAAUGUAUGAUUUUAUCUCAUGUUUUAAUGUUGUGUUGUAAGCCACCCAGAGAAAAACUUGUUAUAGGGUGGCUAACAAAUAAAGUUUAUUACUAUUA